ensembl:snRNA U1 U1 spliceosomal RNA
GUACUUACCUGAACGGGUGGGGGAGUACAAUGAUCACGAAGGUGGUUUUCUCAGGGCAAAGCUGAUGUGUUGCACUCUGGAUGUACUGAUCCCUAUGAUAUCCCCAAAUUAGGGUAGCUCAGCUGCAUAAUGUGUGGUAGUGUGGGACUACAUUCAUUCUUUCCCCUG